rnacentral:rRNA from 1 species
UACGUAGGUGGCGAGCGUUGUCCGGAUUUACUGGGCGUAAAGCGCGCGCAGGCGGUUCGUUAAGUCCGGUGUGAAAGCUCCCGGCUCAACUGGGAGAGGUCAUUGGAUACUGGCGGACUCGAGGGAUGCAGAGGAAGGUGGAAUUCCCGGUGUAGUGGUGAAAUGCGUAGAUAUCAGGAAGAACACCCGUGGCGAAGGCGGCUCUCUGGGACGGUACUGACGCUGAGACGCGAAAGCGUGGGGAGCGAACAGG